UGGGGAAUAUUGGACAAUGGGCGCAAGCCUGAUCCAGCCAUACCGCGUGAGUGAAGAAGGCCUUCGGGUUGUAAAGCUCUUUUGUUGGGAAAGAAAUCCUGUCGGUUAAUACCCGGUAGGGAUGACGGUACCCAAAGAAUAAGCACCGGCUAACUUCGUGCCAGCAGCCGCGGUAAUACGAAGGGUGCAAGCGUUACUCGGAAUUACUGGGCGUAAAGCGUGCGUAGGUGGUUUGUUAAGUCUGAUGUGAAAGCCCUGGGCUCAACCUGGGAAUUGCAUUGGAUACUGGCAGGCUAGAGUGCGGUAGAGGGUAGUGGAAUUCCCGGUGUAGCAGUGAAAUGCGUAGAGAUCGGGAGGAACAUCUGUGGCGAAGGCGACUGCCUGGACCAGCACUGACACUGAGGCACGAAAGCGUGGGGAGCAAACAGG
rnacentral:rRNA from 1 species